rnacentral:rRNA from 1 species
UUAGGAAUCUUGCGCAAUGGGCGAAAGCCUGACGCAGCGACGCCGCGUGGGGGACGACGGGUUUCGGCCUGUAAACCCCUUUUCUGCGGGAAGAGGACGGACGGUACCGCAGGAAGAAGCCCCGGCUAACUACGUGCCAGCAGCCGCGGUAAUACGUAGGGGGCGAGCGUUGUCCGGAUUUACUGGGCGUAAAGGGCGCGCAGGUGGCCUGGUCAGUCCGUCGUGAAAGCCUCGGGCUCAACUCGGGGUGGUCGGCGGGGACGGCGAGGCUUUAGAGGCCGGUAGAGGAGCACGGAAUUCCCGGUGUAGUGGUGAAAUGCGUAGAGAUCGGGAGGAACACCAGUGGCGAAGGCGGUGCUCUGGGCCGAGCCUGACGCUGAGGCGCGAAAGCGUGGGGAGCGAACCG